GCCCAGAGGAAUAUGUUUAUCAGCAGAAUGCAGAAGCCUAGAUUGGCGAAGCUGAAAAACAUUUUCAUCCUCAGCCAGCCCACUUUCUUUGUGAAAUUGCAACAGCCUGGUGCACCUUGUAAGAAUGAAAAGCAUUCGGGUAUGAAGUUGCUUCAGCAUUCCUGGGGGAAGUUCUUGGCGCCUAUCAUCCAAUUCUUGGACUAUGCCUUCGCACUGAAGCCAGAACUCACUGGGUGAUGUCAUAGCACAACUACGAGCUAAAACCAACAAGUCCUCAAUGGUUUCCUGCCAUUCAGGAUGACUUUCUGCAUUUUUUUCAAGGAUUCCAACCAGAUCCGCUGCAAAGAGAGCUAAAUCAGAAUUCACUUCUUCCUUUGCUUUGUCAAAUUUUGCCCGUAUAACAACCAAGAUCUCCUCCAAGUUAUUUCGCCCUCGAGGCUUCCAAAAUGGGAAAGGCCGAAAACCUUUUGAAUUUAAUUCAUG
rnacentral:misc_RNA from 1 species